rnacentral:rRNA from 1 species
UGCCAGCAGCCGCGGUAAGACGGGAGAUGCAAGCGUUAUUCGGAUUUAUUGGGCGUAAAGGGUCUGUAGGUUGUUGGUUAAGUCUAUGGUCAAAUUCCGAAGCUCAACUUCGGGCCGGCACUAGAAACUAAUCAACUUGAGUACGUUAGAGGCAGGGGGAAUUCCCAGUGUAGCGGUGAAAUGCGUAGAUAUUGGGAGGAACAUCAAUGGCGAAGGCACCCUGCUAGGCCGAUACUGACACUGAAAGACGAAAGCAUGGGUAGCGAAGAGGAUUAGAUA